rnacentral:rRNA from 1 species
UACAGAGGGUGCAAGCGUUAAUCGGAAUUACUGGGCGUAAAGCGAGCGUAGUCGGUUAUUUAAGUCGGAUGUGAAAUCCCCGGGCUCAACCUGGGAAUUGCAUUCGAUACUGGAUAGCUAGAGUUCGGCAGAGGGAAGCGGAAUUUCUGGUGUAGCGGUGAAAUGCGUAGAUAUCUGGAGGAACACCGGUGGCGAAGGCGGCAUCCUGGACCAACACUGACGCUGAGGAGCGAAAGCCAGGGGAGCAAACGGG